UACAGAGGGGGCAAGCGUUGUUCGGAAUUACUGGGCGUAAAGGGCGCGUAGGCGGCCUGUUAAGUCGAACGUGAAAUCCCCGGGCUCAACCCGGGAACUGCGUCCGAUACUGGCAGGCUUGAAUCCGGGAGAGGGAUGCGGAAUUCCAGGUGUAGCGGUGAAAUGCGUAGAUAUCUGGAGGAAUACCGGUGGCGAAGGCGGCAUCCUGGACCGACAUUGACGCUGAGGUGCGAAAGCGUGGGGAGCAAACAGGAU
rnacentral:rRNA from 1 species